rnacentral:lncRNA from 1 species
AAAUAUGAAUCAACUAGGAUUCGAACUUGGGUCUUGGAUACCAACCACCAAGUCCUUUGCCACUUGCUCUAGGGACGAUCGGUCAAAAUCUCAUUGUUGCUACUAGUUUUUUAGCCUUUGGAUCAACUCUUUUCAUCAUUUCUAACCAUUGGAUUAAAUACUAUAACCCAGUGGGGACCACUCAACCCUAGGGAGACUACUCAACUCUAAUCGACUAAUAUCAUCCUGACCCUACAAUUUUUCAUCCAAGGGUUAAAAACUUGAUAGCAAAAAAAGCGUUUUACUAUUAAUAGUAUUCCAGCCUAAUUCUGUAUAUAUAUAUCAAAGGAGGAUAGUAGC